AAGAAAGAUGUGGCAAGAACACG
rnacentral:piRNA from 1 species